AGCCUAAGGUUUCCUGGGGAAGGUUCGUCCGCCCAGGGUAAGUCGGGACCUAAGCUGAGGUCGAAAGGCGUAAGUGA
rnacentral:tRNA from 1 species